UGCGCCUCUGCUCCCGGCGCCCUGGUGUGGUCAGUCCAGGCUGAGCUCCCCUGCGCGCCCUAGUUCACCUUAUAUUUUUUCGCAAAACUUUACAAGAAAAAGGAAAGAGGAUUUCCCCCCUUUCGUGAGGGAUGCCUGGCCUGGGCUUGGGCAUGCACCUUCGGGGAAAAUCCGCUCUCCCCUGUCCCCUAUUCAACUGGGCAAGAAGUUGGGAAGGAUCUGGAAGGAGGGUUUACCCGCACCGCUCCCCCCACACCAGGCACCGCUCCCCCCACACCAGCUCAGAUGAGGAAACUGUCUGGGAAGAUUCCAGUCCAAUCCCUGGGUCGACUACAUUGUGCAGCCCUGGGACCGUGGCCUACAAACCUGAAGCCUAAAACAGUGCCUGGAACACAGCAGCGCUCAAAAGCUACGGGUUGAAAAAGAGACCGAAAGCUCAUACGUGCUACAGUAGGUGCCCAGUGGGGACAGACAGACUGGGCCCACAUAGUCCUAACGUUACUCUAUAGAUGCCCCUCCAUCUGCCCAGCAUAAACUAAUCCUCCA